AAAGGGGCACAUCUUGCCAAGGUGUGCCCAAGGGGCAGGUUGGGUUGCUGUGAUGAUGGGUACACAGGGCCCUGCACACAGCUUUCCAGUCAGAGCUGCAAAAGGAGACACAAAAAUCACAGCUCAUUCCAAGAGGUGCCUGCAGCCAACAGCACCCAGCAGCAUUGUCACCACUGCAAGCAGCCACUGACAGCCGACCUGAGAAUGAACACGAGGGCCAGGGAGGAGGCAGCUCAGCCUGCAGCGUCAGCAGCGCAGUUCGGCAGGGCCUGCUAAUCGUCUUGCUCAAGUUUCAAACUCUGUUUACCAAAUGACCACAGAAGCGUUUUAAUAACAAACACCUCAUUUGAAGGCCAAGAUGAAAAAUUUUACAUAAAAAAUUAAUUUU
rnacentral:antisense_RNA from 1 species